AGUGUGAAUUGCAGAAUUCCGCGAAUCAUCGAGUCUUUGAACGCAAGUUGCGCCCGAGGCUCGUCCGAGGGCAUUUCCGCUAGAGCGUCACCGCGUCCCUUC
rnacentral:rRNA from 1 species